GUAAGAUGGUUUCUUGUUGCGAACUUGGUUUACUGGUGCAGAAUCCAGUACUUUGGAGUAAGACGGAAAGACCCCGAGAGCUUGGAUUUAGUCUUUUGUUUGGGGCAGAAGUUUAUGGUUUAUGAUCUUUAUGAUCCUUUGGUGGAUUAAAGGGGGAAGUUACCUCGGGGAUAACUAGGUGAUAGACGAGGAGAGAAGAUAUCGAUUCGUUUG
rnacentral:rRNA from 1 species